AACGCGAAGAACCUUACCUACUUUUGACAUCCAGAGGAUUCUGCAGAGAUGUGGGAGUGCCUUCGGGAACUCUGAGACAGGUGCUGCAUGGCUGUCGUCAGCUCGUGUUGUGAGAUGUUGGGUUAAGUCCCGUAACGAGCGCAACCCUUGUCCUUAAUUGCCAUCGGGUAAAGCUGGGCACUAUAAGGAGACUGCCGGUGACAAACCGGAGGAAGGUGGGGAUGAUGUCAAGUCAUCAUGGCCUUUAUAAGUAGGGCUACACACGUACUACAAUGGUCGGUACAGAGAGUCGCGAAGCUGCGAGGUGGAGCCAAUCUCAGAAAGCCGAUCAUAGUCCGGAUCGCAGUCUGCAACUCGACUGCGUGAAGUUGGAAUCGCUAGUAAUCGCGGAUCAGCAUGCCGCGGUGAAUACGUUCCCGGGCCUUGUACACACCGACAUA
rnacentral:rRNA from 1 species